CGGUGGAGGCCGGAUCCUGGGCUGUGUCCCGGCGCCCUGUGCUCCGGAGCCUGCGCUGUUGGAUUCGCGCUCCCGGGCCGCGCAGCCCCCU
rnacentral:pre_miRNA from 1 species